rnacentral:rRNA from 1 species
CCUACGGGGCGCAGCAGUGGGGGAUAUUGCACAAUGGGGGCAACCCUGAUGCAGCGACGCCGCGUGAGCGAUGGAGUACUUCGGGUUGUAAACUUCUUUUGUCAGGGACGAAGCAAGUGACGGUACCUGACGAAUAAGCCACGGCUAACUACGUGCCAGCAGCCGCGGUAAUACGUAGGUGGCAAGCGUUAUCCGGAUUUAUUGGGUGUAAAGGGCGUGUAGGCGGGAAUGCAAGUCAGAUGUGAAAACUAUGGGCUCAACCCAUAGCCUGCAUUUGAAACUGUAUUUCUUGAGUGCUGGAGAGG